UACGUAGGGGGCAAGCGUUGUCCGGAUUUAUUGGGCGUAAAGAGCGUGUAGGCGGCUUGGAAGGUUAGCUGUGAAAACUCGAGGCUCAACCUCGAGACGUCGGUUGAAACCACCUGGCUAGAGUCCGGAAGAGGAGAGUGGAAUUCCCGGUGUAGCGGUGAAAUGCGCAGAUAUCGGGAAGAACACCCGUGGCUAAGGCGGUUCUCUAGUACGGUACUGACGCUGAGACGCGAAAGCGUGGGGAGCGAACGAGG
rnacentral:rRNA from 1 species